rnacentral:rRNA from 1 species
UAGGGAAUCUUCGGCAAUGGGGGCAACCCUGACCGAGCAACGCCGCGUGAGUGAAGAAGGUUUUCGGAUCGUAAAGCUCUGUUGUAAGAGAAGAACGUGUGCGAGAGUGGAAAGUUCACACAGUGACGGUAACUUACCAGAAAGGGACGGCUAACUCCGUGCCAGCAGCCGCGGUAUUACGUAGUUCCCGAGCUUUGUCCGGAUUUAUUGGGCGUAAAGCGAGCGCAGGCGGUUUAAUAAGUCCGAAGUUAAAGGCAGUGGCUUAACCAUUGUUCGCUUUGGAAACUGUUAGACUUGAGUGCAGAAGGGGAGAGUGGAAUUCCAUGUGUAGCGGUAAAAUGCGUAGAUAUAUGGAGGAACACCGGUGGCGAAAGCGGCUCUCUGGUCUGUAACUGACGCUGAGGCACGAAAGCGUGGGGAGCAAACAGG